rnacentral:rRNA from 1 species
CUCGUAGGUGGUUUGUCGCGUCGUCUGUGAAAUUCCGGGGCUUAACUUCGGGCGUGCAGGCGAUACGGGCAUAACUUGAGUGCUGUAGGGGAGACUGGAAUUCCUGGUGUAGCGGUGAAAUGCGCAGAUAUCAGGAGGAACACCGAUGGCGAAGGCAGGUCUCUGGGCAGUUACUGACGCUGAGGAGCGAAAGCAUGGGUAGCAAACA